rnacentral:lncRNA from 1 species
UCCAGCCUGGGUGACAGAGUGAGAUUCUAACUCAAAAAAAAUGUAACUGGACGCUUUGCAUUUUUAUUUGCUAAGUCCUCCAAUUCUAUCCAAGACACGGUCUCUCCGAAACUCCGGGAGGCUCCAGAGCAAAACAACGGAAAUAGGAAGACUACCGGUCUUGACUCCUCCCCGCCAUCAAAGAAGGCUGGUACCAUUUCCGGCUUUCCCUAGACAGUAGGGGGCCGGAAGUGACGUCAUCCUAAGGUAGGGCCUUAGCGAGGGAAAUGGCUGCCGCGUAAUGCCCGGUGAUGCGAGAAAGAAGGGCCUGCUGCCACCAGGACCCGUCAUCGCCCAGCCCAGGGACCGCUUCUGAAGGCCAUGCGAGCCCUGGCGGCGCAGACUUACCAGCCCACAGCUCCGGCCGCGGUGCCCAGCGCUGGAGAACGGAAACAUAAUUCAAGACAUUUCCUGAGUGCCUUCUGUGUGGGCCGAAUGCUGUAGCUGCUGGGAUAGAGUUUCACUCUAUCGCCCAGGCUGGAGUGCGAUCUCGGC